CCUGGCAUGGCUAACCCCCACCAGGUCAGCCCUGCACCACGCAGCAGUGCAGACACCUGGGGACUCGAUUUGGCCACAGAUGUUUCAUGGCUCUGAGGCAGCCAGAACCCGUUCCUCCUCAGCCCUUUGACUCUCUGUGAAGAAGCAACAAGGCUGCAAAGAGUAUUAUCGAAGCUAUGAAGGCUCAGCUGGGACAAGGACAUCUCACCUUUGAGGAGGCAGAAUCCCUGCCUGAAUAAACAGAGAAUUCUCUCCUCUCAAGCUGGCAGCAGUUGGUCCAUCCGAGGGCGACCUUGCAGCCUGUAUUUGCUCCUCUGCCAUGGGUGCUUUCCCGAUGCCUACCUCAAGCUCCCUGUCAUCUCUCAGGAUCCACCCCAACCACACAAGCAGUUGCAGAGGUGUGCAGUGUGGAGCAGAAACCCCUGCUUGCGACGGGACCCCCAUCCAGCUGAGGACAGCUGAGGAAACCUGCCUUGCCUCCGUGCAGCCAUGUGUAGGCCAGUUGUUUCUCCUACCACCCUUAUGCCACUGCUCCGAACGGCUUUUCAAGAGGGCUGGAUAAAAGGAAGAACUUCACAGAAAAAGAUGCAAAACCCAGAGCAUUUUUACAGGAAUCAGAACCGGAAUCUCCUACAGCUGCGCAGACCUAAUAAUAAUAAUAAUAAAAAGCAGAAGAGAUUGGCCGUUUACCCCUUUAUCCAACAAAGUGAUCUCAGUGGCUUAUAUGAGAUCUGAGAGGGUUGUUAUGGGAAAAAUUUGGCUGCAGGACCUGUCUGGGAGGUGCGGCAUCAACCUGGC